rnacentral:rRNA from 1 species
UACGUAGGGGGCUAGCGUCUGUCCGGAUUUAUUGGGCGUAAAGAGCGUGUAGGCGGCCAGGUAGGUCUGCUGUGAAAACUCGAGGCUCAACCUCGAGACGUCGGCGGAAACCAUCUGGCUAGAGUCCGGAAGAGGAGAGUGGAAUUCCUGGUGUAGCGGUGAAAUGCGCAGAUAUCAGGAAGAACACCCGUGGCGAAGGCGGCUCUCUGGGACGGUACUGACGCUGAGACGCGAAAAGCGUGGGGAGCGAACAGG